GACGAACCGUGCAAACGUUAUUCGGAAUCAUUGGGCUUAAAGAGCGCGUAGGCGGCGUCGUAAGUUGGAGGUGAAAUCCCAUCGGCUCAACCGUGGAACUGCCCCCAAUACUGCGACGCUUGAGUGAGGUAGGGGCACGCGGAACUUCCAGUGGAGCGGUGAAAUGUGUUGAGAUUGGAAGGAACGCCAGUGGCGAAAGCGGCGUGCUGGAUCUUUUCUGACGCUGAGGCGCGAAAGCUAGGGUAGCGAACGGG
rnacentral:rRNA from 1 species